rnacentral:rRNA from 1 species
CUGAGGAGCGAAAGCGUGGGGAGCGAACAGGAUUAGAUACCCUGGUAGUCCACGCCGUAAACGGUGGAUGCUGGAUGUGGGGCCCGUUCCACGGGUUCCGUGUCGGAGCUAACGCGUUAAGCAUCCCGCCUGGGGAGUACGGCCGCAAGGCUAAAACUCAAAGAAAUUGACGGGGGCCCGCACAAGCGGCGGAGCAUGCGGAUUAAUUCGAUGCAACGCGAAGAACCUUACCUGGGCUUGACAUGUUCCCGACAGCCGUAGAGAUAUGGCCUCCCUUCGGGGCGGGUUCACAGGUGGUGCAUGGUCGUCGUCAGCUCGUGUCGUGAGAUGUUGGGUUAAGUCCCGCAACGAGCGCAACCCUCGCCCUGUGUUGCCAGCACGUCAUGGUGGGAACUCACGGGGGACCGCCGGGGUCAACUCGGAGGAAGGUGGGGAUGACGUCAGAUCAUCAUGCCCCUUACGUCCAGGGCUUCACGCAUGCUACAAUGGCCGGUACAACGGGAUGCGACACGGCGACGUGGAGCGGAUCCCUGAAAACCGGUCUCAGUUCGGAUUGGAGUCUGCAACCCGACUCCAUGAAGGCGGAGUCGCUAGUAAUCGCGGAUCAGCAACGCCGCGGUGAAUGCGUUCCCGGGCCUUGUACACACCGCCCGUCAAGUCAUGAAAGUGGGUAGCACCCGAAGCCGGUGGCCUAACCCUUUGUGGAUGGAGCCGUCUAAGGUGAGACUCGUGAUUGGGACUAAGUCGUAACAAGGUAGCCGUACCGGAAGGUGCGGCUG